AAUAAACGCAGCCAUAAGUUAUCGUGUUCAAUAUUGAUCGUUCGUUUUAUUUGUUUUUUUAUGAUUAGUAUUUUUAUUGUUAGUAGAUUAUAAAACAUGAAUAAUACUUUAUGGGUGACUUAUGUUUUUUAGUUUUUCUUUAAAAAAUAAAUAAAAUGGACUAUUAAAGUUGGACACGAAAACUCAUGGUUGUACUUAUU
rfam:Oryza meridionalis cultivar OR44 (W2112) chromosome 3, whole genome shotgun sequence.